CUAGAAAGUAAGUUUCCCCUUAUAGAACCUCAGUUUUCUUAUCCAAAGAAUGAAGGAAUUAAACAACAGAAUUUCCAAGACUCUGUAAGUUCUAAGAGUCUGUGAUUUAAGGAAGGGACUCAGAGAAAGUUCUAUGGAGCAGAAGGCAGUUGAUCUGAGAAGAGAAGGCUUUCAAUAUGCAGAAGUAAAGAAAGACCACAUGCUAGGCAUGGGGAUCACAAAUGCAUAAAGAAAUUCAAUCUAGACUCCUUCAACCAGUUAUUUGCCAAUCUGGUUUGACUACUAGACAACUGGAAGAAUCUCCAAACCCUCCAAGACCUGACCCGGAGCAAAUACCAGCUACUCCCAGAAGUUGAUAAACUGGAUCAAGACCUGACUUUUCAGCCUGAGGACUGCCAUUCAGAGUAGGAACAUUUUAGAUUUCCCAUUUCAACAAUAUAUGGACUUCAGUAUGUACUUUUUACUUUAUCUCAGCAUAAAAACUUUUCUUGUUGAGGACGAAGAAAUUGAUUGGACAAUAGAAUGUCAGAGCUGAAUGAGGCCUCAGAGAGCAGCUUGUCCAGUUCCUUCAUUUUGAAGAAUAGGAAACUAAAGACAAUGUUGAAGAAGUGACUUCUCCAACCUUCCUACAGCAGGAAAUCACAUUAAACUAGUUAUUAGAAUCUAGGCCUAUUGACUCCCAUAUUGCAACUCUUUCUACCAUUUCUGAAUGUACUGAUUCAUUUUGGAUUUUUUCCAGGCAUGUCUCAAACUUCCAUCCAAUAAAAAAUUGCAUCUCUAAGCCUAUUACCCCAAAAUACUCAUUUCAUGGGCAAGAAGCUCUCAGGGCUAUAAAAUAGUAAUGGAGUUGGGGACAGGGGCUCAGCAGAAUCCAGCACUUAGCUUGUACAUAUUUUUAUCUGGCACAGACGUCCCAGGGUCCUCUGGGAUUGAGAAGAAGAC